AAUUAGAUGCCUGAAAAAAGGAUUAUUUUGAUAGAAUAAAAAAUGUAUUAUUACUCUAAUUA
rnacentral:tRNA from 1 species